GUGUCAAAGCCUGUUGUUUCUCAGAUGUGUUUGUCAGAACAGAUGAACAUCAGCUGCUCCUCUGAAGGAGAUGGAGUAGAGUUCAUUUUGACUUUGGACAGUCUCUUACUGAUGCAGACCACAGGCCACAGCCAGUCCCUGAGCAGCUCGACACUGUCACUGGUUGGGAGUACAGCUAAACAACAUAAUCUCAGAGUUUCAAAUGUUACCAUCAGCUUACAUGGUCAACUGACAGGAAACUUGAUGUGUAAAGUUUGGAACAAUGUCAGCAGAGAUGAAACAGUUAUUCACCUACAAAGCUGCAAAGAGUUAGUUGGUUCCUUCCCUGUUGUGACUGUGGCUGUGAUAGCAGGUGUUGUCACUCUCCUUCUCCUUGUGGCUCUGUGUCUUAGUAUAAAACAUCUACAUAACAAACAAAGACCCACGACUGUUAUUAAAGGGUAACUUUGAAGAAAUGUCUGAAGUUGUCUACAAAGAUGAUGACAAAGAUAAAAAACACAGAGAAAGCCAGACCCAAGUGACAUAAUUUUUUCCUAAAAGGUUUACUUAGCACCUCACCCAUUUUGAACCCUAACAUUAACCUUUUUAGAAAUCUAUUUAACUCUUGUGAUAAAUAAAAUUUGAUCAAGGGUCAUUAUCUUGCCUGUACACAAGUUGUUUUUUAAUUUUGUGAUUAGUAUACUUGCUACCAUAUCUACAGUGCACUAUUUUCACAGUAAGAGUUUUAUUUUCGCUAGAUUUUUAAACCACUAUAUUAAAAGAGUUUAAAUUGUGUUUGAAGAAUUCAUGCAUUUGCUUUCCAAAAAUUAUGUGAUUUUAUUUUCUGUUGCCCUGUAAUUGUGUG